rnacentral:sRNA from 1 species
AAUAAAACCAAAAAAAAAC